AGUGAACGCUGGCGGUAGGCCUAACACAUGCAAGUCGAACGGCAGCACAGUAAGAGCUUGCUCUUACGGGUGGCGAGUGGCGGACGGGUGAGGAAUACAUCGGAAUCUACUUUUUCGUGGGGGAUAACGUAGGGAAACUUACGCUAAUACCGCAUACGACCUACGGGUGAAAGCAGGGGAUCUUCGGACCUUGCGCGAUUGAAUGAGCCGAUGUCGGAUUAGCUAGUUGGCGGGGUAAAGGCCCACCAAGGCGACGAUCCGUAGCUGGUCUGAGAGGAUGAUCAGCAACACUGGAACUGAGACACGGUCCAGACUACUACGGGAGGCAGCAGUGGGGAAUAUUGGACAAUGGGCGCAAGCCUGAUCCAGCCAUACUGCGUGGGUGAAGAAGGCAUUCGGGUUGUAAAGCCCUUUUGUUGGGAAAGAAAAGCAGCAGGUUAAUACCCCGCUGUUCUGACGGUACCCAAAGAAUAAGCACCGGCUAACUUCGUG
rnacentral:rRNA from 1 species